rnacentral:rRNA from 1 species
AGCGAACGCUGGCGGCAGGCCUAACACAUGCAAGUCGAACGAACCCUUCGGGGUUAGUGGCGGACGGGUGAGUAACACGUGGGAACGUGCCUUUAGGUUCGGAAUAACUCAGGGAAACUUGUGCUAAUACCGAAUGUGCCCUUCGGGGGAAAGAUUUAUCGCCUUUAGAGCGGCCCGCGUCUGAUUAGCUAGUUGGGGAGGUAAUGGCUCACCAAGGCUACGAUAAGUAGCUGGUCUGAGAGGAUGACCAGCCACAUUGGGACUGAGACACGGCCCAAACUCCUACGGGAGGCAGCAGUGGGGAAUUUUGCGCAAUGGGCGAAAGCCUGACGCAGCCAUGCCGCGUGGAUGAUGAAGGUCUUAGGAUUGUAAAAUCCUUUCACCGGUGAAGAUAAUGACUGUAGCCGGAGAAGAAGCCCCGGCUAACUUCGUGCCAGCCGCCGCCGUAAUAC